UCAGCCUUUUGGACCAGCCUCUAGCCCAGUUACACACACACACGUACAUCCAACAUUAUUUCAUAUUCAAAUCAAGAAAACUCCAUAUCAAAUUCAAAUCAUCCAUCGCAUCACAUCAGGUUUACAUAACAAAUCAUCUCAGGAAUACAUUUCCUUACACAGGAAUAUAGAAGGAACAGAGGGAAUAUGCAAUAAGACAAUUAUGGCACAUCCUACAACUUGCCAUCCUACAACAAGAAUUAUAUAACAGGAAGAACUUGCUCUCUCUCGUGAGACUUGCUCCAGCUGCGACAACUUGCCAUCCUACAACAAGAAGUAUAUAACAAUGAACUUCAAGAACAUUACAGGAGCUAAACGCCCAAUCAACGUGAAGUGCUAAAAAAUGCCUUAGCUAGCAUGCAUUCAAAAUUUAGACACUUGACAUAGCCUCAUCAAGCAUGCAAUAAAUUAUAGAAAGUAAACGAGGACCAGACUUUACAAUUACAGACACAUCCAUCAAUCCAUGAGGCAAAAUCAUGUGAAUCCAAAAGGAGAGGCAGGAAGGGAUACCAAUUUUGAUCCAGAGGGUACAUGAGUGUGGCCUUCUUCCGGAAGAGGUUGGCCCUAACGCACCUUGUAUGAGGCGCUGGGAGCUCAUAGAUUGUCCUGGUCAAUGAGCAGGUCCUUGCAUCCGGUCAUACUGCUAGCCUGGGGAACAGGAAAAAUGAAAGGAACAAUUUAGACUUGGUAUUAACGAACAAAGACUGUAAUCAAUAGCAGAUUAAGCACCAAUUUUCUUGGAUGCAAGGAGAAGAACGAGCAAAACAACACAGAGAUGUGGGACAAUGUUGUACCUGUAGAUGAUGUUCGCAGCCAAGGAAGACAUGGGGCCAGCCUUAAAUGUGCGCGUGCUUCACCGGUGCAUGCAUCACCAUAGCAGCCAAGCAAGUAGACAUCAUCGACAUCUACUCACCGCUUUCCUGGCAAUGGAGAAAGAGUCAAACAAAAAAGUAUUAGACCAUGAUAUGACACCAGACCAUAGAUUAGUAGCUUUAAAUCACAAAGUAUAUCCACAACACCAUAAAAUAGUCCCAAACCCGUGUUAUUUGAGUAUAUCACAUGUAGUUUAUUUUCAUGAGUCC
rnacentral:lncRNA from 1 species